UGUGUGUAGAAAAAGGCUGGAUGUUAUUUUACACUGUUUAUUUUCAGGCAAACCCCACCGAAAUAUGCUCCGAAACACUAGAAAACCUGUGCCACUGCUACCAAGAAGCAAAAGUCUAAAACGCAGCACAAGCCAACAAGUAAUGACGGCCUAUCCAAGCCCCACUAAAAUCUGCUCCGAAGUGCCAGAAAACCUGUGCCAAUGCCACUAAGAAGCAAAAAGCUAAAACACCCUGCAAGCCACCGAGUAUUGGUGGUGAGGAGAAAUUGUAAACUAAAACACCACACUAAUGGAGAAUGAAUUUCAAAAAUUCAUGAUAUCUCAGAUCUCAAAGCUGGGGGGGAAAGAGAACAAUGCAUCGCAGGUGUGAGUCUUGGUGAAUCAAAGGCUACAGAGGCAGAAAUACAACAGGUGAUGUCAACCUGCCUGAAAUAUGCACCUGGCCACAAGGGGUGCAGUGGGAGGGCCAAUGAGUAAGGAGAUGAAAGAGUUCUUACAAAGUUAAAAGUAUCAAAGCCUUUUCCGACAGUAACUUUUUGGGGUUUAUUGUAGAUCUAAUUUGUGUUUUCAGAAGCCUGUGCCAGAAAUGCAUUUUAUUGCUUUGUAUUUUUUUUUGAUGGCUUGUACAUCUAUUUUGUGGUGCAAUUUUUUUUCUUCAUUUAAACUGUUCUUGACUUUGACAAACACAUUUGCAUAACAGUUUUUACAUGGACAAAGGUUUACACAAUGCUGUUCCAAGUUACUGCUCUAAUUGUGUUUCACAAAAUGACAAUAGCCAACAGUAGUAUAGACCCUUAGUCUGGAACAUACUGCACCAUGAGUAGAAUUGUAUUAUGCAUAUCAGGGUGCUUUUCAAGAGUGUGCAACAUCAGAAAGGUCCUGGUUGAUAGUUUGUUUUCCUAUUCUUAGCUCAGGCUCUUAUCCUUAUUUAAUGUAAAGAAGUCUACAUCAUAAAAUGACAACUAUUUCUAAACAUCUCAACACACUUCAUGGAUCGUUCUUAAUCCCUGUUGAAUUCAUGGUGUGUUUUGGUCAAAUCAGAUCACAAUGUGUUCUCAACCUCACUCCAAUAUUUAAAUGUAGUUGAUUAUUAGUCAAGUAUAGUAUUUAAACUCAAUAG